UACAGAGGGUGCAAGCGUUAAUCGGAAUUACUGGGCGUAAAGGGCGCGUAGGCGGUUUAGUAAGUUAUGUGUGAAAACUCUGGGCUUAACCUGGGACGUGCACAUAAUACUGAUAAACUAGGGUAGAGUAGAGGAAAGUGGAAUUUCCGGUGUAGCGGUGAAAUGCGUAGAUAUCGGAAGGAACACCAGUGGCGAAGGCGCUUUCUGGGCUCAUACUGACGCUGAGGCGCGAAAGCGUGGGGAGCAAACAGG
rnacentral:rRNA from 1 species